AACAGUUAUGAUGAUGACAAUGAUAUAUGUGAUGACUUUGAUGAAGAUGACAAUGGUUGUGAUGAUUUGAGAGGUAGUGAAGAUGAUGACAUAAGCAGCAGCCGUGAAGAAGAGGAUGGUUAGGGAGUGAAGAAGAUGACGAUAUAUAUAUGUGUGCUGGAACUUGUUAUAUUGGAUGGUUAGGACUAUGUGCUGGAACUUAUCAUGUUGGAUAAGCUAGUAAGCCUUUUACUGUAAUGGUUGGACACUUGGAUGGAGUUGGAAUAUAUUGCUAUUAGAAUCAUUUGCAUAUUUGGAUGUAUUAGAAUUUAUUUUAUGUGUGGAUUGGCAUUUGGAAUUUGGUUUGAGAUGCUCCUGUUGGGUGAUUUUCAUGACGGUUUUGACUCAUGAAAAUAAUUUUUUCUGCUAUUGUGUAAUUUUCGUGAUAGUUUCAACUCUUAGCAAAAUAUAUGUUUGUGAUGGUCUGAACAUCAUUUUCGUGGUGGUAGGCUCUCAUGAAAUACUAUAUUUCCUAUGAGUUAUUGGAACACUCACAAAACAUUUUUAUGGCGGUGUGCUCUCACGAAAUACUAUAUUUCCUGUGAGUUAUUAGGACACUCAAGAAAUUUAUUUCAUGACGGUGACUCUCACGAAAUACCACAAUAAACCGUCAUGAAUACACCAAUGCAAACCUAGCGAUAGCAUUAUUUUCAUGAGGGUGGUUCCCGUCAUGAAAAUAAUCUGUGGCGGUGAACUCUCACGAAAAAUGAGAGUGAAUGCAUGACGGUGCACCCUCACGCAUUAUUUUUGUGAGAGUAAACCAUAUUUCAUGACAUUUUUGCACUCUCACGAAAUAUCCGUUUUGUGGUAGUGAGCCCUAACACGUGUAUUCUCAGGAAAUUCAUGACAUGCAAACUUUUGAUCAACAGCAAUCCCCCAAGUAAUGUAUGCAUCAGGAUCAUAUUUACCAUCAAAAGGAGGUAUCUUAAAUUUUAUCUUAUUGAAAGCAUCAUCAUUAUUAUAUACCUCACAUCGUCAGUAACCACCCAUACCUCUACGAUUAGUAUGAAGCCGUCGGCGAUCGUGAGCAUCUUGGUCAUCUUGUUCAGUAUCAGCAACAUAGUCAUCCUAAUUUUCCUUGACGCGCUCAUCCUUCUUGUUAUCUUGAUCACGCCCAUCAAUGGUUUUAGCAUGCAUCUCAUCAAAACACCUCAAAAGAGUAGCAAGACUCUUGUUAAUACGAGCAACCGACACAUCCA
rnacentral:lncRNA from 1 species